CCGUCUUCAUACCCUCAUGUUCACGGUGCACCUUCCUCUUCUGGAAUAGCAUAUGAAAGAAUCACUUCCAGGAACACUUCACUCAGGGAGGGGGUACAAGUCCUUCUGAUAGAGGACGAGCCUAUGCACUGUGUGAGGCCUGUAGUGGCAUGAUAGGCCUGAGUAUUUCCAGAUUUAGAUAGCUUGGAAGUGCAGCCAAAAGCAAGUGGUAAACUCCAUUAGAAGCUAAAUAGCAGCAUGAGACCAACACUCAACAAGCACCAUAAGAAAAAGGUGAAGAGAACUGUGAAGAGAUGGUUCAACAGGAUAUAGAACAGUUAAGAAGAUAGGGAUUAGCUCUAAAGGCUAUGCUAUUCUGGGUGGGGAGCAAAGAGGCACAACAUGCACACUGCAGGUGGACAGGGAGCCACUGCCUCUCCCAUAUACUGGGAGAUCUCCCCUUUCUGUCUGGGUCUACCCCCGCUCAUCUACUUGGAUUCCCAUCCUCUGGGUCAGUGAGCACACUGGCAGUGGUUCCACCCCUCAUGGAUCAGAGCCAGGAGAACAAAUGGGAACUCCAUGUGAGGGCCCCAGACAUGGUGGGCAGGUGGUGCUGGAUACAUUCUGGGCCCUUUCUAUGGAUUGGAUCUCCCCAGCUACAGUGGACAUCAUGGACGCACUCAGGUAGCCUGGUAGGCUCCAGUGUACUCUGAAGUAGCCAUCAACCUGUAUAGCUUGUUGGGUUCCAGGAGAACACAGGAAGGGGGUUCCCCCAACUCUCUCCCCUCCACAAUCCUGCAAGUGUACGAUGUGUCAAGCCUCUUGUACUUGUUUUCCCUUGCUGGGUCCCUACUCUGGGCCUUGGUAUUCUGUGCAGCCCCUCUCCUUGGCCAACAGCUAAGAGCAAACUUAGAACAGGAGCGAAUCAGGGAAAUCCAAUGGUUUUAUUAAAAGAAGACACAGUAAAGGCUCAUGGUGAGUGUUGAUGUGAAGUGAUUUCUUCCCAGUGAGCAGAAUGUCAAAGUGAAGAAAUUCAAUGAGGCAGAGAAAUAUGGGAAGAACUAUGACUCUCUUAAGAUAGAAUCCUCAUUUAAUCUGUACAUACAUGGAUGGAUGAACCAGAUUCCCACUGUCUCUCCCUACUAUCCAAAAACCCCAUCAAAGGGAACAAGCUAGGCUGGAUUAGCAGGGAAUGAAGCCCCUGUUGAGCUUGACUCUAGUCUAGCAUGGUGAAGAGACAUGAGAACACUGCAAUAAGUAGAAGACCUCUGAUGCUCUCUGGUUCCCUGGGAGGGGUCAGGGUGAGGUCCACCAGCCUCACAGACUACAGUGAAAUGCUACUUCUCAUCAUUUUCCACUGACCCAGGGAGACAGGGGUGGCUUGAGCCAUGAGUGGUUCUCACUUCUGGCACCACGUGUCUGUCACACAUAUUGUAUGCUAUGGCCCAUUCUGGGAACAGUGCCAUGUUCAUAGUUUGACUGGGGAGUUACACUUGUCAAACAGUAAUGCAGGUGACCUACAGCGAACUCACAGAUGACGGAAACUAUCCUUAAAGCUUGCUCUACCAUGAUUUUCAUUACACAUACAAACCAUGAAUGCAGGGCAUGAAGAUCCUUCUGAAUUUUUGGUUUUUAAGUAGGAAUUGUCAGAAAAGUUACCACAGGAAUAACUGCCUUCUGGAAGGAAAGUGUUCAGGUGACAUAGUUUUAUUGACCCUGCAAUGUCUGCUGUUCUUGUGAUUUUGAAGCAGAAUUCACCUAGGGUUGGAUUGUUGACCCAGUAAUAGGGAAUGUGAGCUGGAUUAGAACAUCAUGAGACAGAUUCGAUUACCUACUGAUUAUGUGCAUUUUGCCUUUGAAUCCUGCUCAGUAUGAGAGGAACAAUAUGUUCAGACAUUUGGUGUGUAUGCUCCACUGAGAAGACAAUGAGCAAGACUACCACUUGUAGAAUUAUGACUUAAGGCCCCUAAGUUGAAAUUCCACUGAUGCAGGGCUGUAAAAUGGAGCCAAAGACCCUCAGUUAGCCCUGGAUAGCCAGGUCUGGUCUAUACCUGCUGGAGGUGCCAUCGCAUUCCCACAAGUUGGUGGGUCCCUGUUGUGUUGGGGCACAGGUGUCCAGUGUGGAAAGACACUCAUCCUCUGAAACAUCGUGUGCUAGAAACGAGACAGACCUUUCAUCCAUCAUGCUAAUGCAUGUGUGUGUAAAAUCUGGUGCUAAACCAUUCCAAGAUGACCUGCUUCUGUGUCGGGGAUUCAUAUAUAGCAGAACAGUUCACUUACUUUGUCUCUUGAAAGUCAUCCCUCAACACAAGGUUUCU
rfam:Rattus norvegicus chromosome 12, whole genome shotgun sequence.